rnacentral:rRNA from 1 species
UGGUGGGAUACUACCCUAGCUGUGUUGGCUUUCUAACCCGCACCACUUAUCGUGGUGGGAGACAGUGUCAGGCGGGCAGUUUGACUGGGGCGGUCGCCUCCUAAAAGGUAACGGAGGCGCUCAAAGGGUCCCUCAGAAUGGUUGGAAAUCAUUCAUAGAGUGUAAAGGCAUAAGGGAGCUUGACUGCGAGACCUACAAGUCGAGCAGGGUCGAAAGACGGACUUAGUGAUCCGGUGGUGCCGCAUGGAAGGGCCAUCGCUCAACGGAUAAAAGCUACCCCGGGGAUAACAGGCUUAUCUCCCCCAAGAGUUCACAUCGACGGGGAGGUUUGGCACCUCGAUGUCGGC